UACAUAGGGGGCGAGCGUUAUCCGGAUUUAUUGGGCGUAAAGCGUGCGUAGGCGGUUUAUUAGGUCAGGCGUAAAAGAUCACAGCUCAACUGUGUAGGGCGUUUGAAACCGGUAGACUUGAAUACGGUAGAGGCAGGUGGAAUUCCAUGUGUAGCGGUGGAAUGCGUAGAUAUAUGGAGGAACACCAAUGGCGAAGGCAGCCUGCUGGGCCGGAAUUGACGCUGAGGCACGAAAGCGUGGGGAGC
rnacentral:rRNA from 1 species